GUAGGUGGCAAGCGUUGUCCGGAAUUAUUGGGCGUAAAGCGCGCGCAGGCGGUUCUUUAAGUCUGAUGUGAAAGCCCACGGCUCAACCGUGGAGGGUCAUUGGAAACUGGAGAACUUGAGUACAGAAGAGGAAAGCGGAAUUCCACGUGUAGCGGUGAAAUGCGUAGAGAUGUGGAGGAACACCAGUGGCGAAGGCGGCUUUCUGGUCUAUAACUGACGCUGAGGCGCGAAAGCGUGGGGAGCAAACAGGAUUAGAUACCCUGGUAGUCCACGCCGUAAACGAUGAGUGCUAAGUGUUAGGGGGUUUCCGCCCCCCUUAGUGCUGCAGCUAACGCAUUAAGCACUCCGCCCUGGGAGUACGGCCGCAAGGCUG
rnacentral:rRNA from 1 species